GUGAAGAGAAUGGACAGGCGGCAGAACGAGAGCUACUGCGCUCUUGAGUUCGACUGAGUAAAUAAAUAUCUGUCAGUUCCAAGAUUUUGAACGACGAACGAAAGAAAGAAACGAAGAGAGGAGGUCAUCACACACAGAAGUUGAGCUUCUCAAGUAAUUAUUAUCACAGCACAAAGAUGGAUGGACGGAUGGACCGUGUUCGUCCUGAGUGAGGAAGACCAGAACUCGAUUACAUCCUAGAAGAAACAAACGCCAAACUACCAAAACGUGUCCUGGCGAGGAAGUUUUAUGCAGUUCCAAAACUAAGCACAAGACAAGAAUGGCGCCAAGGCAAAAUUCGUUGGUUUCGGAGAGAAGAUUACAUAAUCUAAUCCUGUGGCUGCAGUGGCUGGCUGUUGUGAAGACGGCAAUAAACGUCGAGUUCUAUAAUUGGCGGGGAAUAUCCAGACUAGAUCAGCGUAGGAACAUAUUUACUGACGGUGCUAUAACCUGCACCAAACGAUGCACUCUGCACGUGGGUCAGUUGAGAGAGUGAAGUCUUGUUAUUCCUUGCAUUUUUUAUGAAGGUACAGAUGAGUGAUUAGUCUUAUGCAAGCAAUGAAGAUGGCUGUCUUCUGAGUUGUUGAACCGUGUAGCCUCGUAGAAGUUUAUCGACGUUUCAGAGGUGUUUGUUGCCUCUAUGAUAAAGGAGAGGAACCCUGGUUAUGGAGGUUAUCAUAAUACUUUCCACCGUGAGAACGUCAUAUCUCAGUGAAUGGGUAGUUGCUUCUGUUAUGUACGGCUUUACUGAAGAUUUGUGAUACAAGAAAAAUAAUUCAACAGUUUAUUUUAAGAGAAACCGGAGAGAAAGCGCUGCUUUAGCGAGAAUAAUGUAAGAUCCCUACCAGCGAAUGGCACCUGCCAGACACCGUAAAGGUCUGUAAUGUGUACUUUGUUCUGAAAAGGAAGACAUGGAGAUAUGUAGGCCCAGUAGGCUGAAAAGAGGCUUCGAAAACAUGUCACUGCACAAGGCAUUUUACAUUCUAUGCAUACAAAAAUUAAAUCUAGUUAAGUAACCACCUUAUUUAAAGAAGCUCAAGUCACUGAAGUUCUUUCUGUGUAAACACGAAACAGUCAUUGAACAAAAUAAGUGGUAAGCAGACUCUGCACAAGUACACAACUAACCACAUGAUCAAAGCAACUCAGGCAUCGGCUGUGACAGGAAUUUCUGUGUCGCUGUGUUUACGCAACUUACAAUUCCAUUUUACCAGGAAGCAUUGUACAAAGAA